rfam:Danio rerio chromosome 4, GRCz11 reference primary assembly.
GGCUUUGUGGCGCAAUGGAUAGUGCAGUGGACUUCUAGGCUGUGAGCUGAGUCAUUCAAAGGUUGUGGGUUCGAGUCCCACCAGAGUCG